rnacentral:rRNA from 1 species
UGGGGAAUCUUAGACAAUGGGCGCAAGCCUGAUCUAGCCAUGCCGCGUGAGUGAAGAAGGCCUUAGGGUCGUAAAGCUCUUUCGCUGGGGAAGAUAAUGACUGUACCCAGUAAAGAAACCCGCUACAUCCGUGCCAGCAGCCGCGGUAAUACGGAGGGGUUAGCGUUGUUCGGAAUUACUGGGCGUAAAGCGCGCGUAGGCGGAUUAGAAAGUUAGGGGUGAAAUCCCAGGGCUCAACCCUGGAACUGCCUCUAAAACUCCUAGUCUUGAGGUCGAGAGAGGUGAGUGGAAUUCCGAGUGUAGAGGUGAAAUUCGUAGAUAUUCGGAGGAACACCAGUGGCGAAGGCGGCUCACUUGGCUCGAUACUGACGCUGAGGUGCGAAAGCGUGGGGAGCAAACA